UACGUAGGGUGCAAGCGUUGUCCGGAAUUAUUGGGCGUAAAGAGCUCGUAGGCGGUCUGUCGCGUCGGCUGUGAAAACCCGAGGCUCAACCUCGGGCCUGCAGUCGAUACGGGCAGACUAGAGUUCGGCAGGGGAGACUGGAAUUCCUGGUGUAGCGGUGAAAUGCGCAGAUAUCAGGAGGAACACCGGUGGCGAAGGCGGGUCUCUGGGCCGGUACUGACGCUGAGGUGCGAAAGCGUGGGGAGCAAACAGG
rnacentral:rRNA from 1 species